GCACGGACGCCCCCGUGGUGCGGCGCCGAGUGGUACGGCCGGGCCCCCAAACCUUGCAGUCUCACUUGAGGCUGAGAUAAUCCGGAGGUUGUGAGGAUGGGCUGGGUGGGUAGAGGGUGGGUUCCCGGACCGGUCUUUUGGGAUGGAGGCGUUCCUAUUCCGCCAAGUUUCUGGAAACCCAACCGUUUUUGAGCAUCCUCGGUUGCCCCAAGCCCCAGGGUCUGAGAAGCUUUGUGAAAAUGCAAAACCCAAAUUCAACAGGUACACGUUUCCUGUGGCUAUAAAUAGGCCUCCCCAACCUCGCAGCUCUUGGCAUUAGACUUUAGACAAUUCAGCCUCCAUGUUAAAGCAGACCCGUUGCCGAGCUGCGUUUUCAAUGCCUGCCCAGAAGGAAGACUGGCUGGAAUGUGAUAGAGGUUGCACUGGAAAUGCUGAUGUAAUGUGACUCCCAGGGAAGAAUGGGUCGGUGAUGGGGAAGCAGAGAAUCCCAUAAUACUACUUGCCCAAGAAGAUGGGCGGGCGGGGAUUUGAGGGAACUGAUGCAGGUGUAAUCCUGAAAUGAGAGCUGUGAGAGGCAAAAGCAUGUUUUUCCCCCGAAUGGGAAAUAACAUUCUGAAUUUGCAGCAGAGUAUUUCUUGUGAAGAAGAAAGGGAGUUGCAACUGAAAGAAGCCACCGAUUUCUAAUGCUCUCCGCAAACUGAACAGGGGAUGACAUCUACAGUCGUGAUCAUGUUGGAAAUCUCAUGGAGAAGAGAGCCACCUCAUAUAUCAGAUGUUACCAGUCUCGAGACUAGAUCCUCAGAUGAUCUAACUUGGGAGGCAACAGGCUCUGUGCUCAAGGAUCACUCCUGGAGUUGCACCAGAUGACCAUAUGCCAUGCCAGGACACGAACCAUGGUGGCUGCUUAUGAGGCAAGGGUCUUACCCCCUGUGCUAUCUCUCUGGCCUCAGUGGUUUUGGAGCGGCAUGAACACCUUCAAGAGUGUCAAAGAAGUGGUUAAGAGGACAAAGAACCAGACACAUCUUUUCAACUCCACCAUUUUUCCUGUACUAACGUAUGCCUCAGAGACCUGGGACCUCUGAAAACAGGAUGAGAAUGCUAUUCGGGUAUCCCAAAGAGGAAUCGAAAGAGCUAUGCUUGGAGUAUCACAUCUCACUCAAGCAAGAGAAGCAAUCCGGAGUUCUUUUUUUUUUUUAUUUAAAUUUGUUUAUUUUUAAUUAGAGAAUCACCGUGAGGGUACAGUUACAGAUUUAUACACUUUUGUGCUUAUACUUCCCUCAUACAAAGUUUGGGAACCCAUCCCUUCACCAGUGCCCAUUCUCCACCACCCGUAAACCCAGUGUCCCUCCCACCCUCCCCAAUCCCAUCU